UCUGGGCUGCUAUGGUGGCUGUGGGCUAAUCAGAAUUAUUUGUAUGCAAGAGGCAGAAGUUUUAUCAAUCUUGGAAAAUCUCCAAGGAAAAUGUUUUCUUAAGGAUUGUUUUGGUUCGUUUUCGUAAAAGGUACACGCUAAUGAACUCCUGAUCAGUAUGGAAAGUUGAUCUCUUCAAUGCUGACCACAACAAAUAAACAAUCUCAACGAGUGUCACUGCAUCGAAGAGAAAAUUUAUCGUGAUAAAGCCGACAACAACUUGUUGUUUCUUCCCAGCCAUUGAAUAAGUGCAGUCCAGAAAUGAAGAAUUCGUAGUUGGUCCUGCGACGUUCUCAUGGGAAGUACUAGUUGUUGUUCUCAUGUUGGGCAAAGGACAUUCAAAAUGGGUCGGAAAAUUGGAUGAGGUUAAGAGAAAUGCUGAGAAUAUUGUCAGUGGUAUUAUACGACAAACGAUCAAAUGGAUUAUGUAAGCCAUAAAUAC